rnacentral:rRNA from 1 species
UACGUAGGGGGCAAGCGUUGUCCGGAUUUAUUGGGCGUAAAGAGCUCGUAGGCGGUGUGUCGCGUCGGCCGUGAAAACCUGCAGCUUAACUGUGGGCUUGCGGUCGAUACGGGCAUCACUGGAGUUCGGCAGGGGAGACUGGAAUUCCUGGUGUAGCGGUGAAAUGCGUAGAUAUCUGGAGGAAUACCGGUGGCGAAGGCGGCAUCCUGGACCGGCAUUGACGCUGAUGAGCGAAAGCUAGGGGAGCAAACGGG